rnacentral:lncRNA from 1 species
GCCGAAUCCUCUGCCCGGACCCUCAGAGGGGGAUCUACCUCACACUUCAGGGUUUAUUGUCACACUUGGGCGUUUAUUGUCACACCUGAGAAUUUAUUGUCAUAUCUGGAGUUUCAUUGUCACAUCUGGAGUUUCAUUGUCACACCUGGCGCUGUUUCACACCUGAACCUGAGGGGGGACACCCCAAAACUCCCUAAAUCUUCCCCAAAACCUCCCCAACUCCUGAGACUGUCAUCCCAAGUCCCCUGCUGAGGCACCUCCACCCUCUUCCUCUCCUCCACGCCUCCUGGAGCAUUUUGGGGUCCCGGAAGGGCAAAACUGGGGCGAAAAGCGCCCAAUUCGGGUGUUUGAACAAAAAUCCGUUACGGGAAAGGCGGGAAAAGCGGCUGCGCAAGAAGGAGGUGGAGCCGCGCACGCGCAAUUACGACCCGCGCGAUCACGCACGCGCAGUGAGCGCCGCAGCCGUUAAGCGCCACCAUCCGGGAACUGGCGGGCGCCAUCUUUGUGGCGGGUGGAGGAGACGCGUCCAAAAUGGCGGCUCCCAAGCGCCAGUAGCCGGCGCGGCGAGCGGGCCUUUCUCGGCUUUCAGCGCGGCGGCGGCGGCUCGGAGCGAGCGGCGGCGGCGGUGGAAAGCGGCGCCCGGGGUCAGCGGGCGGCGGGUGGCUGCAGGUGCGGAGCAGCGGCGGAGCGGCGCGGAGAGCGGCGCAUCCGGGUCCCGCGGCCGCCGCCAUCUUGGGCCGCCGCGGAGCUGCAAGCUCCCACCUGCGCCAUCUUGGGGCGCCGCAUCGGGGCUGUUCCGGAGGGGGGACGAGUGGAGGGGGUGGCGGGACUUGAACGAAAAGAGCGGGGAGCGCUCAAAGCUCCGCUCCCGUCCUGGGCAGGCGCCGCCAUCUUGCGCGCGCGGCGAGGAGGAGGAAGAGGAGGAGGACGAGGAGGAAGAUCCGGGCACCGGGCGGCGCCAUCUUGGACCCCCCCUUUCCACAGCAGCGCGCCGCCAUCUUGUGACCCCUCCCCCGCGCACCCGGGCACCGGCCGCUCCGCCGCCUUGGAGCCGCUGCGGUAGCGGAGCCGCACCCGGUAAGGGCAGAAUGAAGCGGGGAGCGCCGGGAGGGAGGAUAGGAACCGCAGAGUCCCCAUGGGGGCCGACAGCAGGCUUUGGUUCCGCCGGAUGGGCGGCGCCAUCUUGGGAGGGGACGUGCGGGAUGUCAUGGCGGUGCCGUGCGCCGACAUCCGGGUCCUUCUCCCCCCACCGCCCCUGGGGCGCCAUCCUGGGAGGGGCCGCCGCAUCCGGGUCUCGCGCGCCGCCAUCUUGAGAGUCCGGGGGGGUGGCGGGGGGUGAUGGCGGCUCGGGGCAUCCCCGGCCCGUUUGCGUCGCUCGGAGCCGCGGGGCCGUGAGGCCUCAGAGCGGCUCCGGCUCCCGUUAACCCCAAGGGGCGGUGGGGACAGCGGGGGCGCCCCGGGACAGAGGAAGAGGAGGAGGGGGCGCGGUUUGCGGAGGGGGCGGC